CAAUAGCGUAUAUUAAAGUUGUUGCAGUUAAAAAGCUCGUAGUUGGAUUUCUGGUCGGAAGCUCCUGUCCUCUGAUGAGCGUACAAGUGCGUCCUACCAUCCUUCUGUUAACCUUUAAGGCUUUCGCGGCUUUCUAAGGGCUCAGAUAUUUUACCUUGAGAAAAUUAGAGUGUUUCAGGCAGGCUAGCGCCGGAAUACAUUAGCAUGGAAUAAUGGAAUAGGACUUUUGCCUCUUCUGUUGGUCAUGAGGCUCGAGUAAUGAUUAAUAGGGAUAGUUGGGGGCAUUAGUACUUAACUGUCAGAGGUGAAAUUCUCGGAUUUGUUAAAGACUAACUUAUGCGAAAGCAUUUGCCAAGGAUGUUUUCAUUAA
rnacentral:rRNA from 1 species